UACGAAGGGUGCAAACGUUGCUCGGAAUCAUUGGGCGUAAAGCGCACGUAGGCGGCCCCAAAAGUUGGAUGUGAAAUCCCUCGGCUCAACCGAGGACGUGCAUCCAAAACUGUGGGGCUUGAGUACUGAAGAGGAUCGCGGAAUUCCCGGUGUAGAGGUGAAAAUUCGUAGAUAUCGGGAGGAACACCAGUGGCGAAGGCGGCGAUCUGGGCAGAUACUGACGCUGAGGUGCGAAAGCGUGGGGAGCAAACAGGG
rnacentral:rRNA from 1 species